GCUGAAGUAAACUAAUAAGGUUACGGGGUUCAUACCCCCGAUGUGGAGUUUAAUAUUCCCUUCAACA
rnacentral:tRNA from 1 species